GGACACUCAACUGACUGAGCCACCCAGGCACCCCUAAUUAAGAACUGGUUCCCUUGUAAGUAUGGGAUGAAGGCAAUGGAAGCUGGACGGAAGAAACUCAGGGGCCCUCUCUGCCUGGUGUCCUGGAAUUCAGGCUCUGCCUGGAAGGUGUAGGACUUCCUCCAUGCCCUCCACACACUGGUGAGCUUCUGGAGGCCCCACGGGAUUCAAAUACAACACCAUCAAUCUCUGGACUGCCCCCAUGAUGGUGGGGUGUCCAGCGAUGGGCUGCUCCAGAGCAGAGCAGUGGAAGCAACUGGAAGAUACUUCCCAGCCACCUACAAGGUUCCCAUGUCAAAAGAAGGAGGAGCAUCCUUCGUCCCUCUGCUGCCAAAUACUUACUGAGCACCGGGUCUAGCACAGAGCCAUGAAUGGACAAGGCACAGUUCUUUCCCAGUUGAAAAGACAAAGAAAUAGUAUCUGGUGGAGAAAGAACAAGUUAGAGAUAAAUCAUGAAAUGAGCUUUGGCUCAGGGCACGGGCUGUGCUGAAGGUCAGUCACAGGUGGACUUUUUGGCCCCAACAGGCUCAUCUGUCCAGACCGGCCGUGGAGGAGCCACCCGUGGUACUGCCAUCUCUUUAAACAUUUUGGGACUCAUCUUGGAGACUUGCCUUUUGAGGCUCAGCACAUUCUCUGGGUUAGCUUCAAGGGGCAAAACUGGACUUUUUGUGGAUGAGUAGGAGUUUUGGAAAGAACCAAAAGUCAUUCGUAGCAUAAUGUAGAGAGAAGUUGAACCCCCGUGUUGCACACCUGAAACUAAUGUCAACUAUAACUAUUAUGUGUCAAUGCAAAUAAAACAAAUUAAAAAAAAAAAAGCCAUUCUAGCCAAA